rnacentral:rRNA from 1 species
UACGUAGGGGGCUAGCGUUGUCCGGAAUCAUUGGGCGUAAAGAGCGUGUAGGCGGUCCGGUAAGUCCGCUGUGAAAGUCGGGGCUCAACCCUCGAAUGCCGGUGGAUACUGUCGGGCUAGAGUGCGGAAGAGGCGAGUGGAAUUCCUGGUGUAGCGGUGAAAUGCGCAGAUAUCGAGGAGGAACACCGGUGGCGAAGGCGGGUCUCUGGGCCGAUACUGACGCUGAGGAGCGAAGCGUGGGAGCGAACAGG